CAGGGAACUCAACAGUAGGAACCAGAUCCAUUGACAGGAAGAAACAACUAUUUUGUCCAUGCCUUCUACCCUGCAGAGGCAGCACUGAGAAUAAGGAGUAGGGAGCUGGCAUACAGUUCCACCCACUGGAGCUCUAAAAAGGAAGUAAGGCAGGUAGCAACAAGCUGAGAGCAGUGGGGCAGGGCACUCUUCCCCCUAAGAGACCAACCCUUGAAACAAGUUUGGAUUCUCUUGUGCUGCUCUCAAAAACUGUUUUAGGAGACCGGUACACACCCGGAGGAGGAAGGGGAGCCCAAAGAAAACACUGCACCCACAAAGCUCCCUAGGAACAACACCUGCAGAGAGCAUACAUAGUCUGUCUGAGCAAAGGACUCAAGAUCCAGCUAGGAAGGGAAAUACUCUUUUUAUAAGCAGCCAAAAAACAGUCAAAGAGGGCAGCUACAGACCCACACAGACAGCAUCCCAUCCAUGACUCCAUCCUACUUCUGCCAUUAUGUUGCUAUAGCCUCACUGGCGGAAUUUCUCCCCUGGUAGGGCACUGUGCCAGUGCAUCUAGAGUGUUCUGGUGGUGUAUCUGUUAUGGCAGUAGCAUAUCUUCAUUUCCACCAGCACUGAAGGACCUUCUGCUGAAUCUUAUAACCUCUCACCUGAGAGAUCUUCAAUACAGACUUUAGGCCCACACUGCAGAGCAGCCAAUCUUAUCUACACAAUGACAAUUCUGCCCAACCUCCUCACCAAAUAUAUUGGGUCCAUAGAAUUUCCACCUGUACAGAUCCCCUAUUGACACUCUCUAUAAUUAUUGUAACCCUCACAUUACACCAUAGAUUAAUAGAUCCAAUUUCUAAGAAAGAGGCCAUUUAAACAAGGCAAAAUGAUGAAACUCAAAAGAGGAAAAAGAGAAGUCUUUAGAAAUAGUGGAGACCUGACAUGCUAAAUGAAUGUUACUUGUGUCAAGUUGUUUAUUUAAAUGCAUCUAUUUAAAACAUUUAACUAGGAAUUUACCACUGAGAUUAAAGGAGUUACAUAUAUUUAGCCUAAGGAACAACAUGAUAACAUUUAAACAUCUAGCAGGCAAUGUUUUAAAUGAAGGAAGAAAGAACUGAGAGUGUUUUAGUAAGACUGGGUUGAUGGGGCGGGGAGGAGUGCAAAUCCACAUUGUGCUUUGUUGUCCUCUUCUGGCAGAGCUAACAACUUGUGCUGAGGGCCUUAGCAGGUCUAAGGUUCCAUCCACACUUAACAAUUACUCUAUGCUUUUUAGGCACAGGUCCAUGCUUUAAAGCUCUGUGUCUGAACACACACACACAAACACACACACACACACACACACACACCCCGUGCUUUCCGCACCAAACCCUCUCUUUAAUGCUAAAUCAGAACAAACAGCAAUUUGGGUUUUCUGCUGCGCAAAAGGUAGUUUGGAGUGAUGAGCUGCUUGCUGAUACAGGGAACAAGAAGGAUGCUGUAAUGUGUCUUGUAAUGUGCUAAUACCUCUUGCUUGCCUGAAUUGAGAUUAUGCAGAUGUAUGGGUGCCUCUGGCUUUUGUGUGUAAGAGUCACAUCUGUUGCUUGACUUACUUUUGCCUCUGGCUCCACCCAGUGCUGGCAUGAGACAUCCAGAAGUUUGCCUGUGAAGUUAUGGGGCUGUUGGACUGAAAAAGGUUUCCCACUCCAUCUUGCAGGAUAGAACAGCCUUCACCAACCAGAUGCUUUGGACUACACUUCCCAUAAAAAGUGGUGUUGGGGGAUGAGUGUUCAGACCCUGGGCUCUCACUUGUGGGGUGCCUCAGGGUUCCAUCCUCUCCCUGAUGCUUUUUAAUAUCUAUAUGAAGCCGCUGGGAGAGAUCAUCAGGGAGUUUGGGCUGGGUGUUCACCAGUAUGCGGAUGAUGCCCAGCUCUACCUCUCUUUUAAAUCAGAACUAGUGAAGGUGAUGAAGGUCCUGUGUGAGUGUCUGGAGGCAGUUGGAGGAUGGAUGGUGGCUAACAGAUUGAGGUAGAAUCCUGACAAGACAGAAGUACUGUUUUGGGGGGACAGGGUGUGGGCGGGUGUGGGGGACUCCCUGGUCCUGAAUGGGGUAACUGUGCCCCUGAAGGACCAGGUGCGCAGCCUGGGAGUCACUUUGGACUCGCAGCUGUCAAUGGAGGCCCAGGUCAAUUCUGUGUCCAGGGCAGCUGUUUAUCAGCUCCAUCUGGUACGCAGGCUGAGACCCUACCUACCCAUGGACUGUGUCUCCAGAGUGGAGCAUGCUCUAGUUAUCUCCCACUUGGACUACUGCAACACACUCUAUGUGGGGCUACCUUUGAAGGUGACUCAGAAACUACAACUAAUCCAGAAUGUAGCAGCUAGACUGGUGACAGGGAGCCACCGGCGGAAUUAUAUAACACUGGUCCUAAAGGAUCUUCAUUGGCUUCCAGUGCAUUUCUGAACACAAUUCAAAGUGACCUUUAAAGCCCUAAAUGGCCUCAGCCCUGAAGGAGCAUCCCUACCCGCAUCGCUUGCCUGGACACUGAGGUCCUCCUCUGAGGGUCUUCUGCUGGUUCCCUCAUUGUGAGAAGCGAAGUUACAGGGAACCAGGUAGAAGGCCUUCUCAACAGAAGUGCCCUCCCUGUGGAACACCCUCCUUUCAGAUGUCAAGGAGACAAAGAACUAUACAACUUUUAGAAGACAUCUGAAGACAGCCCUGUAUCAGAAAGUUUUAAUGUUUUAUUAUGUUUUAUAUAUUCUCUAAGCCACCUAGAGCAGCUGGGGAAACCCAGCCAGAUGGGCAGGGUAUUAAUAAUAAUAAUAAUAAUAAUAAUAAUAAUAAUAAGCCCUAGCCAACAUGGCUGUAUGAUGAUGGGAUUGUCAUGAGACAUUCUUGUUGGCUAAGUAUGGAGAAUGUGAUCCUGCAGGUGUCGCUACAGCUUCCAUUAUUCCUGACUAUUGGCCAUGUUAGCUGUGGUUGAUGGAAAUGGGGGUCCACCAGUAUCUGGAGGGCCAAAGAUUCCUCAUCUCUCAUGUAGAUGUUACUAAAGUUUUGUUUUUGUUUUUUACUUGAUCCAGAUUAGACACCGUUAGAGUCUGUCACUGUUAUUGUGGUUCCUCUUGCCUUUGUUUCCAUGACAUGCACACACACAAAAAACCUACACAACUCAUUUGCUUGAAUUCCCUUUCAUGAUAUUUAAGAAAUUAUGCCCCACUUUUUGGAAAAAAACUUCUCUACAAAGCAGCUUACAACCAUAUUCAAAAUCACAACAAUAUUACUGUAUAUAACAAUCAUAACAUUUAUAGCAAGAAGUACUGGACAUGAUGGCUGUAUGAAAGGUUUGUGCAUGGACCUCAAGAUUUGCCUAGAAUUUGGAUCUAUUACUGAGUCAUUCUGUGCUCUCUCUGCUUCAGUCUGGGUUCCCAUUUCCAAGUCGCUCUGUAUAGAACAACGCUUUCUAUUCACUACAGUGCAGAAUUUAAAAAUAGCUUUAACCACUUUCCCCCUUUGGGUUCAAGUGGAUGAAAUUUGCAGGAGGAGGAGCCCUUCCACAGUGGAUUAAGCCAGCACAAUUGCAUGCAGAUAACAUCCAAAGGUUUCCAUGCGGAUCACUUUUACAAUUGUUUUAAAACAGAGGAAAAGUCUAUAAUUCUUUCAUUUUCUGCCAGAAUUAGGUGCAGUUUGUAGGCAUGGUCAUCCUUAUGAAUCUGCUCAGCCAUUGUGUACAAAGGAUGUUUGAUUAGUUGGCCUUUGGCUGUUAGAUCCAGCAGUGCUUUUCUUAGGAAUUCUCUUGACGAGAUGGGGAUGCUAUUUAAAGCCAAUGCUACAGGAUGAGCCUUCAUAGCCAAUCUUGCCAGAGAGGGAGAGAGAUAUAACUCUCUCUUUUUUUCCAGAAGCCAGCAUAUUGAUUGAAUCCCCACCCCAUAUUCAGCCUAAAUUAAACACUUUUCUCUUUUCAGGGCUGCUCCAAACUUUAUUGAAGAGGGAUUAGGUAUAGAAAGCCUUAAGAUAAAGUGUAUUAUUUCAAAAUUAAUUUAAAAUAUUGAAACAGAGCGCUCCAACUUUUUUGUUCCAUAAUUUUAUGUGGUUAAAUUAUUAUUUUUAAAUAUUUAUCAAUGGAUUAUGUUCUGACCAAAACACAUUCUGACCCUGCACAUUCAAUAGAAACAACAAGUUUCACCCUUAGAUUGUUAUUUUGUGACCCUGGUUCCUCUUGGCAGAUUUGCUUAGGAAUUAAAAAAUUAGCAGUGUAUGUUUACUCAGAAUCUAGUUCCAUUGUUGUUAUAUGGGGCUUAUUCCCAGGUUAGUGGAUAUAUGUUCACACACACACACACAAAUAUCUCUUAUAACUCAACCAUCGGCCCUUCUCUUGGUAUGUAUCAGGGUGGGGAAAGAGAAUUUACAUUCUGCUGUGGUUACUUGUAUUGCAUGCAGCAUUCUUUAAUUUAGAGAGAAAACUGGAUUUCCACGGCUGCACUCACACUGGUGCCAUUAUGAAAUGCUAUAACUUAGCAAACACUAUGCAUAACUUACCUCAGAUCAAGGCCUUUCAUCUUGUAGAUUGCAAUCCAAAUCAUGCUGUAAGUGUGUUUGUCAUUCCCCACAGAAGCAGUUCAUUUUAUUCUGGGGGAAACAGAAGGGGAGGGGGGGGAGGAAAACCCUGCCAUUUUCUGAGCCACAUACUGAGUUUUGCAUGGCUUUCUUUGCAGAAGUGCUCACACGGUUCAUUAAGGAGAGACUAUAGUACUGGGGAGGGCCCGGAGCUCAGCAACUGAGAACCUGCUUUGCAUGCAUAAGGUUUGUCUAAUCCAUGGAAUCAUUGGUUAAAAGGAUGCCGUGUAGGAUUUUUCUAUCAUAGAUUUUUAUUGAUUUUCAUAAAAUUUAACAAAUUCAAUUCAGUUUCCAUACUAUAGUCCCUUAGCAUUUUGACUUCCCAUCCUCACUUCCAUGAUGUUUCUGUUCAAAUCAUUUUAUCUACUGCCUUAAAUAGAAUACUUAUUUCUGUAACAUAUAUUCUCCAUUACAUAUUUUUUUUUUAUCAUUCUCAUUUCCAGUCCUACCUGCAAUUUGGUUUAGUUAUACUGUAAUAUUUUCUUAGGUAAUCCGAAAAGGGUCUCCACUCUUCCACAAACCUUUCAAUUUUUUGGUCUCUUAUUUUUUGCCAUCAAUUUCAUCAUCUCCAUAUAGUCCAGUGUUUCCCAAAGUGGGUGACCUUGCAACCAGUCAAGGAGAUAAGACUAACUGCGGCAGUUUCCUCUUCCUGGGAACUUCUGGAGAACUCAAUACUGUAGACAGGAGGAGAGUGAGGGCAAAACAAGACUUAAUUGCUUCUGCUUGGCACUGUCCCUAGCUCCCUGUUUGGGAUUCCUGCCUUCCACCCUACCAGUCCCAAUGGAUACCAGACACCAAUGGAAUCCGGCAACCUGCUGCUAGUCAGAACCAAAAUCAUGAAGUAAACAGACCAAUAGUACUUGGUAGUGCCAUGCAGACAUCCAGUGAAUGUUUCUGUGGAGGGUGAGGACAGAAUUGUGGCCAGUGUCCCUGAUUUCCACAUGGUCAAUAUGCACAUUAUAUACACAUAGGUUCUCUCUGUAAAAUAUGCAAAAGACAGGGUCCCAAUGGUACAUUAUUCAGUUCAGCAAGAUGGCAAUUAAAGUGGUGAUGGAGGAACCAGUCCCAAUUCCUGCCCACAAAUUCACCGAAUCUCUGCACAAGGCUACCAAAAGGCAGUACUGUGUCACACUGGGGGACAGGGGGUGGGCAGGUGUGGAGUAUUCCCUGGUCCUGAAUGGGGUAACUGUGCCCCUGAGGGACCAGGUGCGCAGCCUGGGAGUCAUUUUGGACUCACAGCUGUCUAUGGAGGCACAGGUCAAUUGAGUGUCCUGGGCAGCUGUCUACCAGCUCCACCUGGUAUGCAGGCUGAGACCCUACCUGCCCACGGACUGUCUCACCAGAGUGGUGCAUGCUCUGGUUAUCUCCCGCUUGGACUACAGCAAUGUGCUCUAUGUGGGGCUACCUUUGAAGGUGACCUGGAAACUGCAACUAAUCCAGAAUGCGGCAGCUAGACUGGUGACUGGGAGUGGCCGCCAAGACCAUAUAACACCGGUCCUGAAAGAUCUACAUUGGCUCCCAGUACAUUUCCGGGCACAGUUCAAAGUGUUGGUGUUGAACUUUAAAGCCCUAAACGGCCUUGGCCCAGUAUACCUGAAGGAGCAUCUCCACCCCCAUCGUUCUGCCCAUACACUGAGGUCUAGCGCCAAGGGCCUUCUGGUGGUUUCCUCACUGCAAGAAGCAAAGCUACAGGGAACCAGGCACAGGGCCUUCUUGGUAGUGGCACCCACCCUGUGGAACACCCUCCUAUCAGAUGUCAAAGAGAUAAACAACUACCUGUCAUUUAGAAGACAUCUGAAGGCAGCCCUGUUUAGGAAAGUUGUUAAUGUGUGACAUUUUAAUGUAUUUUUAAUCUUUGUUGGAAGCCGCUCAGAGUGGCUGGGGAAGCCCAGCCAGAUGGGCGGGGUACAAAUAAUAAAUUAUUAUUAUUAUUAUUAUUAUUAUUAUUAUUAUUAUUAUCUAAAAAAAUAACAUCAUCAGAAGAGGAGACUCAAUCGUACAGGGCCCCUCUUGCAUCACAGUAUGUACCCUGCAGCCAUGGAGGCGAAUCCUAUCACAGAUCCCAGUAGCUUGUUGGGGAGUCUCUUAAGGUACUGGCCCUAGGAUAUAGCCCAUUUGAUUGCUCUGCCCUCCAGAGUCCUGAACAGACGCCCUCUUGCUCCAGACUCUCCACAGUCAAACCUGGUUUUUUAAAGCAGCAGUGGUAACAGAAAGCCUGAAGUGAAGCCCAAACCAAAAGAUGCAGCACUUGACUCAUAGCCUGAAUUCUGUCCUGGAGGAGAAAUCAUGAAUCUCUAGAUCUAAGCUAGGAUGGAAUAGCAGUGCCUUUCACACUGAAUGGAUAUCACUGGUGACGCAUCUUUCUGGAUGCUUGGCUGGACAGUUCCUGUGCCGUCUCAGCAAUCUACUGGCCUCAGCUGUAGAUAGGGAAUCUGAGUCUUUCAGCCCCAACACUGACGGUGAUUAGACAGACACCUUGAUAAGUUCAGUCUCUGUGGUGUGGCUCUCUAGUAAAUGAAGUACUCCCAUCAAUUUUGCUACCCUCUUCCUUUGUCAGAGGAGAAUAAGCACAGUAAACAAGUUUCUGCAGGGUAAGAAAGGACCCACUUUAACAGCAGCAGUGAAGAACAAAAAUUAAUGCAAGAAACUCAUACAGCAUAUGUCAUUGUCCGGUCUUGGCACCAAAUUUCCUUGAACAAAUUUCAGCUAAGCAUGCCGACUGAUAAAUCCAUGAGCAUAAAGUGUAAAUCUCUCACUCCAAGAGCCUAUCUCGCCUAACACCACCCUGUUUAUUGCCUAUGUACUGCAGUUGCUGCACAACACUGUACCCACUUAGCAUAACAAUUCCAUAUUUCAAAUCCAACUGCAGGUAACACUAAUUACAAGAGAAUGUUGUUUGGCAUCUGCAUUGAAUGUAUUUGUAAGCCUAACACAGAAUUAUCCAUGAAUGUUAAAAGAUCUGUUGCUUAUUAAUGAGUGCAACACCCGUUCUAUUCAAUAUUUUUGGGCAUGUUUUGGUCCAGCUUUCAAAAACUGAAUAUAUCAGUCUUACAAAUGCUGGCUCUGCUGCUACAGAUGUUGUCAGCCAACAGAACUGGGAGGGCAUUGGGGUGGGGGUGGGGGUGGGGGAUAGAGGGAAGUUGCUGGCAAAAGCGGAAGAUUUUUUUAUUGUAAAACUGCAUAGAAAAAUGAUGAAUUGUCUUUGUGAUAUGUACACAGGAAGGAGGAGGGCAAAUGCUUUUGGCAGCCAAGUUAGAUCUCGUUUUCUCCUCCUUUCUCUGCUAAUAGAUGCGAAAUGGCUCGUGCCAUUGUCCAGUCUUUUGAGGAUAAGAUGACUGCACUGUCAGAUUUUUAUCCCCCACUGAUGACUCCUUUUUCUAAAGUGGGAAUACGGAGAACAAACUUCCCUUUAGAUCUCUGUCGGUGGAGUAAGGCUCAUGUAUUCCCCAAGGAUGGACUCAGGUAGCAUUAAAACAAUAAGCCCCUUCCUUUCUAGAUAUGGGAUGGACCUUGAGGGGAUUGAAGGAUACACACAGGUGUAGGAAGUAGGUCAAAUGGAUGAAAUAUUUGAUCAUAGAACUGGAAGGGAUCAUGGAGGUCAUGUAGUCCAACCCCCUGCUAAAUACAGGAUCUGCAAAUUGGAUGGAUGAAACUACAGCCAGUUUGGGAAACCUUUGGCGCUCUAGAUGCUGCUGAACUACAACUCCCAUCCUUACCAACCAUCUCCCACACCUGAACUACAGCAUGCCUGACAGACACCCACCCAUUAUCCCUGACCAUUGGCACACUUGCUGGGACUUAUAGUACUUGCAGUCUUGCAACAUCUGGAGGGCCACAGGUGCCCAAUCCCAGAUUUAGAUAACACCAUGUAUAUAUUUACUUUGGAAAUGUUCUGAGGACUAUGUAUAGCACCCUAUAGAUCAAAGAAUGUGCCAUUCUUCUCUGUGCCUCUUUGUCCACACCAGGCACUCUGGCAGCAGACACCCUGCUGUGUGUGCAGCUGCCUUCUCCCAGGUGAAUCAAGAGCAGCCAAGGGGGCAACCAGUGCAGCAGUGAGCCAAUGUGUAUGGUGGCAGGGCCAGCCAUGGUGCAAGAAGCAUGUGGCUCGCCAUCCUGAGACGCCAAAGGGGGCAGGCAGAGAGAGGGGGCUCUGUAUUGGAAGGGAAGGGCCCCAAAGAGAUGCAUGUGCUGCAUGUUGCUGCCAGAAAAGAGAGCCACCUCCCUCCCAACCUCACAGCACCUUUGGGACCACUGUGGUCCAGUUGUGCCCUUCAGAAUUUCUGCCUGGGGUGAUGUCCCCUACUGCCUCCCCAUGCUAUGCCUCUGCAGUCAACCAAAAUACCAGGAAAACCAAUCAAAGAACUGGACAACUUGGAUGAUAGGUCUCUGAAUGACUGUUAGCAACAACAGGUAAAAAGGAACUCUAGUUGGAGAGGGGGAAUUGGAGAGGGCUGGUGUUUGUGAACUUCACUGGAUGCUAAAUGGAUUAUCUCUCAACAGCAAGUCAGCAUUCCACGGCAUGUAGGACACUCUGUCUUCAUUGGGCUGUUCUUGAUAUUCCCCCAUUAAGUCCCCCACCCCACUAAAGAUUUUUGUACUUUUGAAAAUCUUGAGGUUGCCCUAAGAUGGCUGAUACCUCCCUCUUGUUUAUGGGUGAUGCCAUUCUGGCUACAUAAGGAAUGGCACUCACAGCCUAGACAUCAGAAACAGAUAGAAAGGUGAUAAACAGAGCUCAUAUUUAAAGCCUCAUGAGAUCCAUCAGUGAGAAUCCAGGAUAUAUGACAUCACACCAGAACAAAUGGUUGUUCUGCAGCCAAGGAUAUAUGGCUACAAUAUCUUUUGACACAGUCUCCCGAACUACUUAUGAGUGGAGACUGCAUAGAGUAACACCUGGUUGCUAACACACAAUUGUUGCUCAAUAAAGCAGUAGUGAGUCUAGUAUGAGCAGUAAUGACACAGAAGAAAUAGAAGAAAUGGCAAGUUUAGCUGAAUGCUUCUAUCUGGCUGUCAAAAGAAAAAAAAAUCUGAAAAGGAGCUGUGAUGUUUAUAGCAUUCACUGUCUGUGAUGUUAGCUGUAGAAGCAGCAAUGAGAGGAAGAAAGUGGUGUGAAAAUACAGAUACAAGGGAAUGUUUACAGCAGAUUUUUUUCUCCAACACAAAAUAAGGGCCAAAAUAAUAUCUGAAAUAAGAGCAGUGCCUGUUGUAUGAAGGCAGCUCGUCUUCCUUAUGCUCCCUGAUCGCACUCUUAACCCCUUAGAAGGCCCAGGAGUGGAUUGGUUUGUAUUGGAGGUCGGAUGUGGGUGGGGAAAGCCAUUUCUUUGCAAAAGAAGGAAAGAAAUUACACAGAGAUGCCAGGCAUUAAAAAAAUUAUUGAGCCAAUUAUAGCACUACUUAGUACAAAAAGAAAGAGGGAAGGAGCAAAAUGCACAAAAUUAAUCAUGGAUGCAUUUGACCCACAAUGCUUGUAAUGAGUAUUUAAACACUCCUUUUGAGAAGAACGGGGGAGGGAGAGAAACAAGCAAAAAAAUAAAAACCCCAACUCCACAAAAAACUGGUUAUACUAAAAAGUCAAUUCUGGAAAUUGAAUUAUUAUUUCCUUUUCUGUAAUUAAUUUUAGCCUAGAAGAGACAUUAAAUACUGCUUCACAACCUAAAUACAUUGUUUGGGAGAGCUCAGAAUGGAGACAUUAUUUCCCAGUUAUUCUUUUUCAUUCCAACUCGACACAGAUAUUUAUUUAUUUAUUUAUCCUAAAGCAAUAGGUAUAUAGAGAAAAAAGGUAAAGUAUAGGGGUGGGGAAUCUUCCCACUUCUGGUGGGAGGCUCCCACUAGCAGAGGGAAUGGGAAAAUUGUCCCUGCCUUACAGGGCUCCUGAUCUGAGUUCUCUGGCUCCUUAUAACAGAAGCGGCACAUCACACAUUCAGGCACAUGGUGCUAAUUGGAUAGACUUCAUCCUGAAUAUACAGUGGUACCUCGGGUUACAUACGCUUCAGGUUACAGACUCCGCUAACCCAGAAAUAUUACCUUGGGUUAAGAACUUUGCUUCAGGAUGAGAACAGAAAUCGUGCAGCGGCAGCGGGAGGCCCCAUUAGCUAAAGUGGUGCUUCAGGUUAAGAACAGUUUCAGGUUAAGAACAGACCUCCAGAACAAAUUAAGUUCUUAACCUGAGGUACCACUGUAAUUUCAUUCUGAUCUCUGCACUAAAGGGGAUUUUAGAAAUGCAUAUCUGUUAAUCAACAAAAUAUUUCUAACUGAGGAGUUUAGAAACCUCUAUGUCCUCAGUGCUAAAAUAGAUGUUACUUUCAUAGUGUGAUUAGGUAAAGGUGAAGGACCCCAAGAUGGUUAAGUCCAGUUAAAGGCGACUCUGGGGUGUGGCACUCAUCUCAUUUUUCAGGCUGAGAGAGAUGGCGUUUGUCCACAGACAGCUUUUUAGGUCAUGUGGCCAGCAUGACUAGACCACUUUUGGCACAACAGGACACCAUGACAGAAGCCAGAGUGCACCGAAACAUUGUUUACCUUCCUGCCACAGCAGUAUCUAUUUAUCUACUUGCACUGGUGUGCUUUCGAACUGCUGGGUUGGCAGAAGUAGGGACAGAGGAACGGGAGCUCACCCCGUCAUACAGAUUCAAACUGCUAACCUUCCAAUCGGCAAGCCCAAAAGGCUCAGUGGGUUAGACCACAUCACCACAGCAACUAUAUCAAGAGAUGCUUUUAGUAGGCACAAGAGGUGGGUGCAACUUUCAAUGGAACUAUAUCACGGGGGGGGGGGGUGUUAACCCUUCCUUUCUCCAGCUGGGGCAUUUUGGUGCUGGGAGAUUGGGAAGUGCCUGGACCCUUUAAAAAAUACAACCUUUGACUGAGUGCUCCAAGAACUAGGGGUGAGCCAAGAAAUUUUGGCGCUUGAGGCAAAAGGCAAGAUGGCAUUUUCCCUUCCCCAUUCCAUAAUGCUGAAGCUUAUUGGACUGGCAGUUGAAUCUUACUUUAACUCUGGUUAUCAGGAAAUGCCCAAGCAGCUGCCUAGCUUAGGUGGUGUUUGGCAAGCUGAACAGCCUACAUAGCUCUGCCUUCCAACACAGGUGAAUGACUUAGGAAGGAUGGCGGGGGAAGGAAGUGAACUUCUGCUGCUUAAUGCAUCCACAAACCUGCUUCCUGAGGCAGCAACUUCCCUCUACUCUUGACUGUAGUACCUCAAGGACUGCCUCUGCCCCAUAUGAACCAACCUGGACCCUGUGGUCAUCUGAGGCCCUUCUUCGCGUACCUUCCCUCCACAAGAGGGGUAUUUACAACGCAGUCAAACCAACAAUGCAAGGAUAUCUUAUAAGUUGUGUGUCCUUGUUUCUCAAUUUGAUCCUUUUACAUGGUUUUGUAUGGUUUGUGGAAUUUUAUGUACUGUGAUUUGCUGUUAUUUUUCUUGAUUAUAGAUUAGUCAUUCUUUAUUGUAAUUGAUAAGUGUAAACUGUUUAAUUAUCAUUUGCUGAUGUUUAACUUUACUGUUUACCAAUAGAUUUUAAUAGAUUAUUGAAUAUUGCUUUAUUUGAUACAAGUUUAUUUUAAAGUUAUUGUGACCUUUUUAUAUUGGAUCAGAUUGUUACUAUUUGGUGUUUUAUUGUGUUUCUAUGUGUGUUGGAAGCUGCCUGGAGUGGCUGGGGCAACUAAACCAGAUGGGCGGUGGAUUAAUAAUAAUAAUAAUAAUAAUAAUUACUACUACUACUAUUAUUAUUAUUUCUAGGUAGGCACAUGAUAGGAGCUGAAUCUCACAUAGCUUCCCUGUAAGAUUGCUAGAGAGAACUCUGAGAGACACUCCCAUUGUGCCCUGAUGGGGGAGGGUGUAGCCAUAUAAAAUCUCCUCACCUGUCUUGGCACUUCCUCUUUGCUCCUUCACCUCAGGUAGAACAUAUGCUAAGUCUAAGCCACAGUUCUGACUCCAUUUUAAACUAGACCAAAGUAUGUCUUUGUAACUGGAUUACCAUUUUAAGCCUGCCUGAAGAACGCUGCUGUUAUCUGUUACUCUUCAACAAGUAUUCUGAGUGAGUAAAUGUUAUUUUUUCCCUUUCAAGGGUUGCCAUAUUUCAAAGAGCAAAAAAGAGGACACAUUUGACGACUUCUACUUUUAGCUAUGGAUUGCUAUGACGACUCUCAUUUUACAUACCCAUGAAAAAGAGGGUGCAUCCUGGAAAAAGAGGACAGAUGGCAACCCAUAGAGGAAAUAAACUUUACAGAAGGC